CUUGGCUAAGGAAGCCGACUGAAGCGGCUGUGGGUGAAGCGGACUUUUCGUUACCGUUAGCUGGCUGGAACCAGCGAAAGGCGUUCAGUUCCAGCCCCAGUUCAGCAGCCGACAAUAAGACUGGAGGAAGAGCGGAGCUAACAAAAUUUUAGGGAUAUCUCCACUACCUGUGGCGUCUUUCCGGCCUGCUCGUCCUUCUGCCCGUGACGUCUUCCCUGUAUGUCCUGCUGCCAUACCACAGUUUGUCCUGCCAUCAGAAGCAGCGCUUUGAGAAUCAAAUGUUAAAAUUGGGACUUUGCCAUCUUGCU